rnacentral:lncRNA from 1 species
GGGUGAUUUAUGAUGGAGACGACUUAAGGAUUCUUCACUCUUGACUUUGGUGAAUGUGAGAUAUUUCCUUAGACCCCUGAGCUAGCCUGAGUCCCUUCUCGGAACCAAGAAAGCCAUGGCAAUGAGCUACGGCACAAAUUUGUAUAAACGUGUUUUUGGGGCCAUCGCUUAUUUCUUUGAGUCCUAAAUAACCCCUUCUAGAAGGUUUCCACAUACCACCUUUAUAAAAAUAUACACAGUGUGUCAAAAGGAAAACACAACACAACAAAACCCCUUUUCUUCACACAAUCAUUUUAAGCUUCAAAAUCCCCGAAAAUCCCCAAUCUCCUCUUGCCGUCUGGUUUCCACUCUCUAACUUUCCUCAUCUCCCCUGAAAGAAAGAAAAAAGCAUUUCUUCCAGGGCCCGAUAAGUUGUAGGCUGAUGCUUAGCAACAACAUUCCUGUGUUUUAAGUAGCUGCAAGCCCCUUGCUGAACUCUUUGAUGUGACUGUCAGAGCAGAUUUAUUUUGUUUUAGCACAUUGUCUACUUGUCCAGAUGUAUCAGGAGAUAAAAAGGAGUCAUGUUUACACUCCUCCUUUUUUUUGGGGGGGGGGAUGUAAUUAAAUCGUGUUUUUGAUGAGUCUUGGGGAGCUCCCGUUGAAGAAAACAGGAAUUGGCUGGAGUAAAGGGGGGAAAGGAAAACUCACUUGGCAGAAGGAGCACCUGAUUUGGUCAGAAAAUAAAGCGCUUCCAGCGACCGCGUCAUAGCUUCUCCAGAGAACCACUAUACACCCCUGCCUGCUGCUUCAAGGGAUCUCACCAAUCACCGAGGUAGGAACUUGACUUUUUAUUGCUCUUAGUGCUUGCAGGGAGGGACACUUGGCUAUGCAGAGCUCUGGGCUCAUUAUUGCUGUCUUGGCACUUUAGAAGGAACACAGUGCUUUUCAAGUCCUUGAUGAGAAAACCAUACCUGUCAAGCCUAGCGAUUUUAACUCAUAUUAAACAGAAUUUAGUGGUGGUCUACUG